CUUUUCUUACUUAUUUUAGUAAUUAAAUAAAAAUUAAAUAGUAGGUGAAUAUAUACAUGGAUUACAAAGUAUUUUACGAACUAUAGCAUAUUUUCGACAAGAUGGCUGGUGAAUAUCACGAUCCUCUUCUCCAUUAUGACUUAAACCACAACAGCGUAAUACAUUUCGUAAUGUAUCGAUUACAAAUGAAUCGUAGAAAUACAGAAAAUUACUGGCGUUGCAAGCAGUAAUUUCGACUAGUUGAAGUGAAAAUUAGCGAAGACAUUAUCGUGUUGGUUUUCGCGAACGGUAUAGAUAAACUUAAAGUUUCGUCGAUUUCGAACUUUUUAAAUGUGUCGUGAAUAAAACAAUUAUUGACUGAACAGUCGACUCGACUCGAUACGUUUGUCGUAUUCGUUAAGGUGUAUUGUUUUGUUUCGUUUCGUCUACGACCCGCGGACCUUGAGACCUAACGAAGACCAUGUUGCGCCGCACCUUUGCCCUGACCUGGCUGCUGCUUUUCGGCGGAUUUAUC